rnacentral:lncRNA from 1 species
UGUAGAACUUAUAACAAUCGAAGGAGUAAAUCCGAAAGUAUUAGACAAUAUGCUUCAUACAAAUGAAAUAUCGAGACUUUAAGUCAAUUAGAAAGAAAGUAAAUGAGCCUACCUCUCUCGCAAAUAAAAGAUGUUCAGGUGAUGCAGAUGACGUGCCAAUUUUUUUAGGCAUAUCUGUAUUUGUGUUGGUCAUAUCAGACAACAUUCUUCGUCCUUCUGUCUCAGAGGUAACUUUCCUCCAUCCCAUCUUAAAGAUACUUUUACCCUGCCUCGUUAGCUUGUAACCCUUUUUCAGAUGCACAGACGACAGCCAAUAAAUUAGUUACAGAAGAUUGCAUGACAAAGCAAUAUAUUAAUGCAGCAAAGUUAGCAAUAGCAAGCCUUUCAAUACAAAUGUAAACUUCAAUAUGUGGGAUAUUAAAUGAAAAUACAGAAGGCAGAUAAUCAAACCAACAUAUCAACAGCUCAACACUUUAAUGACAACAAAGCAAAUGUUAAACAUCAUCUUUUUGUAACAAGGGCCGCCCAUUAUGCAACAUUUCAAUGAAGGGGGAAAGGUCAGAUAUGCACACUCUACAAGCAGAGAGGCUGCAUCCAGAAGUAGUCACCAUUUCCACCAAAAUUUACAAUGCGGUAGUAUAUAUUGUCAUGAUAUCAUGGAAGCAUUUUUUGUUUUUGCACGCAGAGACAAAUCAUAUUUAUCCAAAACAAUAAGUUCAACAAGAUUUUUUUUUUGCUAUUCGACUAGUGGCCAACACAUACUCAAAUAAACAAAGUCGAACACACGGGGGUGGGGAAAUGUGGUGACCCUGGUUCGAACCCAGGAUUCCACAUCAAAGGUUUUCACCACCAAACCACUAGGUUGUAACAACGGGGACAAACAAAUCACACAAAUUAUAAUAACACACAAGACAACAUUUUCUUAACCAGUGAACAAGGAGUCUUUCGUAAUCACCAGAUAAGUCUAGUUAACUCCUUAUGAAAGGGGAAUAAUAGGUGUCAUUCUCUGGAUAUAACUACCAUGAUUUCAUGGAGGCGAGGCAACAUUCUAGUAAACAAACAAGAUUUAUAUGACAAAUUCUGGAACUUAGGCACAAUAAACUUGGCUAGAAUGUAAUCAAUUUUCUUAGGCUUAUCUAAUACACGCUGUCAAAUUACCUAUAGUAACGAUAAAAAUUUUAAAAAAUAAUUCCUAAGAGAAUCAUCUUAGAACCAACAUAUAUUUUGAAUAAAUCUUCUUAUCAUGUAUUAUGUUCAUUCCAUCACAGCAUGAAUUUAUGUUAUGCUAAGCCAUCAAAACAUGGCUAUCUGGCUUAUGUAUAAUAUAGAAUCAUAACAAUAAUUCAUCACAAGCUAAACAUAUAAAAAAAUAUGAACAACCACCAAUGUUUUUCUACUCGGUGAGGUUGACUAGUGACUACAUGGAUCAUUCAACACGACAAUUCCAAAACUUAUUACAAUAUACCUUAUGGUUAGCAACAUUGGUUGGCACGUCUAUAUUCAAAAAACAUCUUCCAGGGUAGCUUUGUUUCUUUAUCGCAACCAGUACUGCGUUUAUGAUUGGAAUGCAAACUUGUGCAGCAAGUGCAAAGUCCUGUGGAUUACUCUUUCCUUCAACCCUGGAUACAGAAUAACCUUCAAAUGGUUAAACAUGAUAAUGAAAAACUAUUGCUAUAGAAGGAUAUAGAUGAAAGAUUACUGACAUAACUUAUAAAGCCAGUAAACCAUAAUACUCAAGACAUUCAUUAAGUUAUCAGUUACAAUUAUAAGCUGAUUAAUUGGUUUAAAAAAUUCAACUCAACAAAUAUGGAAGACAGAUCCAGCAAUAUUGCAACAGAAACAUGUUGAUAAUGUACCAGUCAUAUGAAAUGGAGAUAGAAGGGAUAUUGUUGAAGAAGGCCUCUCGAGCUCCAGCUACAGUGCCUGAGUAAACACUGAAAGGGAAUUACUAAUUACACAAACAGCAACGGACAAAAAUUUCUGUGGUAAUGACUACUGAAUAAACCUUAGCAAAAAGAAAAAUAGUAUAAAUCAUAAGAGGGUCAUUUCAAAUUUCGAGGAAAUGAAAUCAUCAUCGUCUCUUCAUUGCUUAGGAUGAUAAUCCUUCGUCAUUUGAAAUAAAUAGAACAAUUUUUAACAGGUACGCUUACAUCACUUGGUAUGACAUACAAAAUAAUUUAUUGACUGUGAGAAAGAUUGUAAGCAAUGUAAAUUAUUUCUUUGGGCAAAUAAUUAUUAAAAACUAAUUUCUAUAAAAUGAUUACCAUAUUUUUAAUGGAAAAAAAAUAGAUUUAAGGUUAGAUGAUAAUAGAAUUGAAAAUCAAAUUAAUAUAAUCAUAUAAAUCAAAGCUCCAUACAUAGAAUUUUCAAAUGAUGAAGCCAACUUUGACAUGAUCAUCAACAUUUUUACUCUGAGGGAAGGAGAGGGCUUCUGAUCUUGGCUCCUCCUUCACUCUCUUUAGGGACAUGCAUUCAUUAAGUGUUUGGAAAUAAUGUUGCAGUUAAGCGUUUGAGAAUUUUUCAGGACGGCUAAAGGCUCAUUUCGGCUAAAUAGCUUAAUUAAGUGUCUGUUCAAUGAGCAACUCCGCAAAAUAUAAGUAAAGAAUUACAUUCAUUAGCUAUACUUAAAGAUAUAUUUAUAGAUAUAAGUGAAAACAAUGUACAGACAUGUCAUAAGUUAGUUUACAAAACUAACAAAAAAUAUAAGUGCUUAUACCAUGAGAUAAAAAUUCAAAAUAAGCUAUUCUAAACACUCCCUAAAGUCUAAAGGUGAUAAAAUGGUGCUACAUACAUAUGAUAGCCGCAGUUGCUACCCCUAUUUAUGCCGCUCACUACCUGUUAAAAUAAAUAAAAGGCAGAUCAAAGCUGAGCUGGUUUUAUUAGUUGAUAACAGGUACUUACAAGAAAUAUUUAAAGAAUAAUGUAAUAACUUUGAACAACUAUUUUAUGUAUAAGUUGAAAUCAGGUUGUGCAUAUCAAAUUAAAAAAAAAAAAAAAAAAAAAAAAAAAAAAAAAAAGGAAUUACAAGAUGAGGGACGGAAGGAAAGAGUGAUUUGGAAAUUCCGAGAGAAGUACAAUCAGCGGGAGUUCCAGAAACAGAGAAGGAAGCAAUGGUUCCAUGAAUAUGAACUUGUUUGGCAGAUAUAGGAUGAAGCCAUGUGAUGCUGUGACUAACUGCUGAUUUCUCACUAUCAGGAGCACAUACAAAUAUAUUGAAAAGAUUCGUAUUCACUAAUGAUGAUACCAAACCUCUUAAGCCAGGAGCGUCGAUUCCGUCGUCGUUUGUUAUUAGAAUUCUUCCUCUCUUAUUAUUACCCUCUUCCAUCGAUAAUCAAUUUCUUUAUUAUGUUUUAUGUUACUGCAUCAACAUUCUUCUCUUCUUCUAUCUAUAGUCAUCAUCUUCACACUUAAGCAGUCAAAAUUCACCCUGCCUACUUCUUUGUUAUUUUCUGGGGAUGUAUUGAAUCAUGAAAAAGUCUUGUGGUAUUCAAUCAAGACUCUUAAUCACUUAAAAAAAGUCUAAUGGUAUUCAAAAUCAUUCAAAUUUCGAAGGAUUGUUUAAUAAAUCAGAUUUUGAUAGAUUUUGUGGGAUUUUCUAGUGAAAUUUUAGCAUGAAAAAGUCUUUCAUGAAAAACAUGAGGAUUGUUUUUUUCUUUUAAGAUUUUACUAUCUCUCCCUCUCUCUCCUCCCUUCUCUCUUACUCUCUCUUUUCCUCUCCUCUCUCUCUCUCCCCCUUCCUUCUCUCUCUCUCUCUCUCUCUCUAGCUCUCCCGUAAAAAACCUCUCUCUAGCUCUCCCGUAAAAAACCUCUCUCCCCCUCUCUUUCCCUCUCUGAUUCCUUCACUCUCUCUCUCUAGCUCUCCCGUAAAAAAUAAAAUAAAAUAAAAUAUAGAGUCUUUAUUGAGAUUUUGUAGCUCCAGCUCUCCCGUAAAAAAUAAAAUAAAAUAAAAUAUAGAGUCUUUAUUGAGAUUUUGUAGCUCUAGCUCUCCCGUAAAAAAUAAAAUAAAAUAAAUAAAAGAGUUUUUAUUGAGAUUUUGUGAAAGAGAGUGUGUUAUGAUAUUUUUUUCAAUUAUUUCUUAAAAUUCAUAAAAUCUGUUGAAAUCUCUUGAAAUCCAUAAAAUCAUUUCAAAUCCUUUAAAAUCUUAUGAAUUAAAUCCAUUGAAAUCCUUAAUAGUCUUUUAAAAUCAUCAAAAUCUUGCAAAGUCUUAUAAAAUCCUCAAGACUUUUUUAAACAAAAAUUGUCCUUUAAAAUCCUAAUCCAAUACACCCCCUUAGUAUUUUCAUGAGAAUAUUAUUUUUUAAAUGAUUAUAAAGUUUGUUUUUGACAAAUAAAAACAUUAUAAAGUUAAUCUCUAAAUUAUCAAAUAUCAAAAAUCAUUUUAUUUAUAAUCCAACGACAUAUACACUUUGACACACAAUAUUAAUUUGAAAAGUAAAAUUAAGUAUCAUCCAUGUGCAACUGCACUUGGAUAAAUUGAUUCAUCGAUGUAAGUAGGAUAUAUUUGUAUCCCUUUAAAAUAAGUAUUGUUUGUCGUAUCAAUAUUUUUUUUAUUAAGUAGGAUGGUGGCUCAAAGACUAUAUACAUGUAGUAUUUCUUUCAAUGAAUUCAAACUUUAACUUGAGUGCAGAUUUUUUAACUUCUACUCUGAAUGAGUGAUUUUAAACUUGAAUGGUGGGUGUGUGGCGCAAACGGAGGACUAGCGUGACGGUGGAGGAGAUUUGACGAUCCAAAAAUGAUUUGGUGGUCUAUCAUUCUACUCCUACAGUUACCAGGUUGCAUUAUCGCUAUGGCUGAACUUUGGCCUAUUUAUAAUUGGGUUGCAAGUGCUAAAGGCCGUGGUUUUUUGCAUAUUGAGAUUAUUAAAUUUGAUUCUAUGACUGCUUUGUUUCAUUUCUAGCUUGGUGCACCACAAAUCCAAAAAAAGUGUUCUAAUAUGAGUAUAAUGUACUAGAAGAAAACAGAAUUAUGGGGACUUAUCCCUCUGCAAACCGGAUCUUCGGAGGCAAUGCAUUUACAAAGACAAACUCACAUCAAUACAUUAAGAAAGAUUAAAGACGUUAUAAUAAACAGUUUAGAGAGCCUAAUCCCCUCCUAUUCAUAAAACACACAUAUCUGUCAAACACAUAAAAACAUAUUGUCGCAUUUCCUCCUAUAGUAAUUACUAAUGAGAGGUCUAACACAAGCUAAGCAAUCCGCGUGAACGAAUACUAUAUAACAAGAAUUGCUAUAAUAUCGAUAUAAAAAUGAGAGAUGUUUUGUUUGCAUUGCUUAUGAGCUUACAGAAAAUAGGCAUUCUCAUUCAAUCAUGAUAUAACAAACUGUUGAAAUGUCUUGAUUGCCCCAAGAUAAUAAUGGAGUGAUGGCUUGCAUUGCGGAGUAAGCAGACUGCUGCUAGUGCUUAGGAUCUGAAAAAUUGAUUUAACAACUUUAGCAAAAGGAAACCUUGAUUCUUGACUAGCAUGGAUGCUAAUAUGCAAAUUCAACUAGUGCUAGGAAUAUAUUGCAAUCAAAACUAUCAUAUAAAAUGCAAAUACAUGAUAGAUCUUAUGGAACUAUAAAGCUUCCAACGAGAGGGGUUUGGAGACACUUUGUAGCCAUUCCUCAAAAUAGGCCUGGCAAUCUACAUCCACACGGGAGAGACCAGCAAGAGGAGUAACAGUAAUCUUCAAAAAGAAAAAUAAAGAAACUGUUCAGCAUGUGUUUAUUCAUUUAAAUUAAGCACACACGCACGCGCACACACUCACAUAGCCCGCCUUCAAGGAUGUGUAAUUUGUAUCAUCGUGAUCAAGUACGGAACCUUUUACCUUCAAAAGUUAAAAGACUACUACAUCAUUAUUCAUUGGAAAAAGAGGAGGCGAGGAGGAUUAGGAAAUGUUCAUUCAAUUAGUGUAGGAUUGUUUAGUCUUCCACAUAACUUAGAAUCAACUUCAGAAGUCGAUAAAACUGAAUACUUACACUCUCCUCAGUCUAUUACAACAUAUUCAAGUACAAUAUAAAGCUAUGUAGAACUAAAAAAAAAGGGUGGAGUUCAUCUGAAGGUAUUAGAUAAUAUGCUACAUACAAAUGAAAUAUUAAGAUUUUAAAAUUUUAAGUAAAUAAAAGGAAAAAGGAAUUGAACCUACCUCCCUCGCAAAUAAAAGAUGUUCAGGUGAUGCAGAUGAUGUGCCAUAAUUUUUAGGUGUAUGAAUAUCAGUAUUGGUCAUAUCAGAUGACAUUAUUGGUCCUUCUGUCUGAGAGGUGACUUGCUUCCAUCCAAUCUUAAAGAUACUUUUACCCUGCCUUGUUAGCUUGUAACCCUUUUUCCAUGCACAGACGAUAGCCAAUAAAUUAGUUAUAAAAGAUUGCAUGACAAAUCACAAGCUAAACAUAUAAAUUGCAAAACUUAUUACAGUAUACCUUAUGGUUAGCAACAUCGUUUGGCACGUCUAUAUUCAAAAAACAUUUUCCAGGGUAGCUUUGAUUCUUUAUAUCAACCAGUACGGUGCUUAUGAUUGGAAUACACGCUUGUGCAGCAAGAGCAAAAUCGUGUGGAUUACUCUUUCCUUUAACCCUGGACAUACAAAUAGCCUUUAAAUGGUCAAAAAUAGUAAUAAGAAGCUAUUGCUAUAGAAGGAUAUAGAUAAAGAUUACUAGAAUAACUUAUAAAGCAAGUAAACCAUAAUUCUCGAUACUUUCAUUCCGUUAUCAGUCACAAUUAUAAGCUAAUAAAUUGGUUUCAAAAUUCAUUUCAGAACAAAUAUUCAAGACUUUCGAGCAAUGUUGCCACAGAAACAUGUU